UUUCUGUUUACAAAAUUUUUCAAUUUUUCGAAAAACUAAGGAUUUUCUUACCCCAGGAGUAGAUUACCUUAGCCGUAUUUGGCACAACUUUUGGAAAUUUUGGGUCCUCAAUGCUCUUCAACUUUGUAUUUGUUUGGCUUUUUAACUAUUUUGAUCUGAGCGUCACUGAUGAGUCUUAUGUAGACGAAACGCGCGUCUGGCGUAUAAAAUUAUAAUCCUGG
rnacentral:lncRNA from 1 species